AGAUUCGGGUUAGUACUUGUUUUUGGAUUUAGAUGCUCUAAACCAAUAUUGGUUCGAUUAUUUGAUGAAUAAUAGAAUUGAAUCUUUUUAUUUGACGGAUUUUAGAUGAUUAUGAUGGAUUGGCUUCGUGUUAUCGUGGGCUCCAUCCCUCGGUAGCAUGGCCGUAUUAUGUCUCGAAUUUGGGGCGUGACACCUUAACUCAUACGGCAAUCAGUGGUCAUUUGCCGACCAAAGAGCCCAAAAUAUCUUGCGAUGUAAUUCCGAUCUGAGGUACUCACGAUGACCACCGUAAUAGAUCAUUAUAGGACA
rnacentral:lncRNA from 1 species